AUUGAACGCUGGCGGCAGGCCUAACACAUGCAAGUAGAACGAGUGGCGGACGGGUGAGUAAUGUCUGGGAACCUGCCUGAUGGAGGGGUAUCACUACUGGACAAUGUAGCUAAUACCGCAUACCAUCGGAUGUGCCCAGAUGGGAUUAGCUAGUAGGUGGGGUAACGGCGCCACUAGGCGACGACCCCUAGCUGGUCUGAGAGGGUGACCAGCCACACUGGAACUGAGACACGGUCCAGACUCCUACGGGAGGCAGCAGUGGGGAAUAUUGCACAAUGGGCGCAAGCCUGAGGCAGCCAUGCCGCGUGGAUGAAGAAGGCCUUCGGGUUGUAAAGUACUUUCAGCGGGGAGGCGUUACCCGCAGAAGAAGCACCGGCUAACUCCGUGCCAGCAGCCGCGGUAAUUC
rnacentral:rRNA from 1 species